rnacentral:rRNA from 1 species
AGUGAACGCUGGCAGUAGGCCUAACACAUGCAAGUCGAACGGCAGCACAGUAAGAGCUUGCUCUUACGGGUGGCGAGUGGCGGACGGGUGAGGAAUACAUCGGAAUCUACUUUUUCGUGGGGGAUAACGUAGGGAAACUUACGCUAAUACCGCAUACGACCUACGGGUGAAAGCAGGGGAUCUUCGGACCUUGCGCGAUUGAAUGAGCCGAUGUCGGAUUAGCUAGUUGGCGGGGUAAAGGCCCACCAAGGCGACGAUCCGUAGCUGGUCUGAGAGGAUGAUCAGCCACACUGGAACUGAGACACGGUCCAGACUCCUACGGGAGGCAGCAGUGGGGAAUAUUGGACAAUGGGCGCAAGCCUGAUCCAGCCAUACCGCGUGGGUGAAGAAGGCCUUCGGGUUGUAAAGCCCUUUUGUUGGGGAAGAAAAGCAGCAGGUUAAUACCCCGCUGUUCUGACGGUACCCAAAGAAUAAGCACCGGCUAACUUCGUG